rnacentral:sRNA from 1 species
UUAAGAUUUAAACUGUAUGUGAACUUCCAUCCAGUAUUGUAUAUUUCAUUUCAUUGUGGGUCUUUUUCCAUUUUGCGUUUUAAAUGCCCUUAUUUUAAUUUUCUCCUUUCUUGUGUAGAGCUGAGCAGCUAGCCAGUGUACAGUAUACACUUCCAAAAACAGCAGGCGGAGACCGUGCUGACUUCUGGAGAUUCAGAGGUCUUCGCAGCUCCAAGAGAAAUCUUCGAAAAAGCAGAGAGGAUUUGUCCGCUCAGCCUGUUCAAACAAAGUUUCCAGCUUAUGAAAGAGUGGUUCUUCGAGAAGCUGGAUUUCUGAGGCCUGUAACCAUUUUUGGACCAAUAGCUGAUGUUGCCAGAGAAAAGCUGGCAAGAGAAGAACCAGAUAUUUAUCAAAUUGCAAGUAAGUAGCCUCAAGGCUAACUUAAAUGAGGUUGGGAGUUACACCUCUAAAGUGAGUGAGUUCUGAUUCACUCAUUCAAUAAAAAUAAGACUUUUUGUCAGUGAAAAAUUAGCAGUUUAUCCCAUUCUUUUAAUUUGGUGAGAAAACCCCAGUGACCAUGUCCUUGUUCCACCAAUUCUUUUAAUGAGAAAAAUCACCGUUUAGGAAACUCUUGGCUUCAUAUGAAAAUUGCAUAACAUACAAUGUCAUUGAAUCCUCCCAGUCAUGCUCUGAGGUAAGGAGUAUAAUAUCCAUGUUAC